UGGCGCCAGUUUCAUGUAGCGAAAAUUAUAAUGAAGAAGCAAAAUCUGAAUCAAAAUUAUUCAUAUAAAAUUGUUAAAACUGAUUUUCAUAAUGAUAUUUCUUACUUACGCUUCUUACGCUUUUAGAAUUGCUGAAUUAUGGAUUGAUUCAUACCAAAAGCUGCCCCUGGUGUAAUUUGGAAAACGGCUUGCACUUUCAAAUGUACCAGCAAAUAUAACAUCUGUCGCAGAUUUUCACCGCCAGCAUAAUACCGAUUCUCAUAAACGAAUUAAGAAUCUGAAGAUUUCAAAAAUUACGAGUUGCCUAGCAGUCCGGAAAAUUAUAGUGCAAAGGUGUACAACUUCUCCAAAGCUGUUUGCCUGUCAACACAGAUAUCGCAGUUUCUGGACUUGAAAGUUUUCAUGAUUGAUGGUAUUUAAAGGUAAACAAUGCACUGACCAGUAUCUGGCCAUAUGCAGUGUACUUAUUGUGGCAGCUCCACAUAUUAAAGGCAAUGCGGAACUGGCUAUGUAACAUUAAAACUGAGAUACCUACAUCUAACCUUAAGGAAAUUUUCUUUCGUUUCAAAGACGUGAGCAGAAACUGAAUUUGAACAAAAAUAUUAAUUAUAGAAAAUACUUAAAUUUCAGAAAUAAAAAAAAAAAAAAAAAUGCGAACAUAUUUUCCCACAUUGCUUGCUAAAAAAACUCUUUGGGCAAGGUGCUUUAGAACUGGGUUACCUAUACAAGGUAACAAUACUAACAGCUGUAUUGAAGUUGUUUUAAAGUAUUGAAGGAUACCGCACUGAAGUGAGUGAAAGCAUAUUCAAUAAUUCUGUUAGCAGACUAUCAGGCUAUGAAAAUUAUCUGCAUAGAUGGUACCUGGAUUUUAGCUAUGGCAGAUACACUAAAAGUCUACUGAAAAAAUUUAUUGUGACUGAUGGUGCAAUAUAUCGUUUGAUUCACAAGAACAGAUUUUUUGGUAAAAAGGAAAUAAACAAAGGUAUUGUGUUGGUGCAGUCUUCAUAUUGUAUGUGUUACUUUGGAGCUAGUGGGCAAUACUGUAAGCAUAUACCUGCUGUAGGCAACCAAAGUAAUAUUGGUAAUUCUUUUGUUUACUCAGAAAUUAGCUGCUCAGUGAUGUUUGAAAUAGCCACUAUGAAUCCACUGAUGACUUCUUGAAGUGAUUAAUAUAUUAUUUCAAUUCUCCAGAAAACUCUUUUUCUUCUGUUAAUGAUAAUGCAAGUACAUCAUCAGCACCAGGCACAUUUAAGUGCACUUUGAAGGACCAUAUUAAUCCCUAUACAGUGCUUCCUUCAAAGCAUAAGGCUGCGCCCCAUGUGUAAUGUGUAUAUGGUGUUUCGUGUUGAUAAAAAUCUUUCAUUCAGAAUAGAUUGUUCUGUAAAAUAAAAAUAUAUGUAUAUGAUUUUAAA